rnacentral:tRNA from 1 species
UCUUCAGUAGCUCAGUGGUUAGAGCUUUCGGCUGUUAACCGAAGAGUCGUUGGUUCAAAUCCAAUCUGAGGAGAAAUUUUUUUAAAAUAUAUUACUACGGAAGGAGAGACUCGAACUCUCAAGUUUAUUAGAUCCUAAAUCUAACGCGUCUACCAAUUUCGCCACAUCCGCAUACUAAUCUUAGUUAGGCCUAGUAGGUUUCGAACCUACAUAAAAAACUUAGAAGGUUUUUGUCCUUACCCAUUAGACGAUAGACCUUUUAUUUUAUGGGCAGUAUUGGAAUCGAACCAAUACUUAUGUGCUUGUAAAGCAUAUACUCUACCACUAAGCUAACUACCCUAUAUUAUUUAAGUAUAGGUAACUUAUAUAGUUA